rnacentral:rRNA from 1 species
AUUGAACGCUGGCGGCAGGCCUAACACAUGCAAGUCGAACGGUAACAGGAAGCAGCUUGCUGCUUCGCUGACGAGUGGCGGACGGGUGAGUAAUGUCUGGGAAGCUGCCUGAUGGAGGGGGAUAACUACUGGAAACGGUAGCUAAUACCGCAUAAUGCCGCAAGACCAAAGAGGGGGACCUUCGGGCCUCUUGCCAUCGGAUGUGCCCAGAUGGGAUUAGCUUGUUGGUGGGGUAACGGCUCACCAAGGCGACGAUCCCUAGCUGGUCUGAGAGGAUGACCAGCCACACUGGGACUGAGACACGGUCCAGACUCCUACGGGAGGCAGCAGUGGGGAAUAUUGCACAAUGGGCGCAAGCCUGAUGCAGCCAUGCCGCGUGUAUGAAGAAGGCCUUCGGGUUGUAAAGUACUUUCAGCGGGGAGGAAGGGAGUAAAGUUAAUACCUUUGCUCAUUGACGUUACCCGAAGAAGAAGCACCGGCUAACUCCGUG